GUCGGUCGCAAGCUGCGGCUUUACUUCAUGUAACAGUCAAGAUUUGAAUACUUCGCUACACAUUCGUUUUACAGUAAUGUUGUCCUGAAGCUUCACUAACUGUUUGUAAUCAUAAGUAAUUGUUUUAACGCGCUCAGCGCACAGUCAACUUCAGGAGACAUUCAAUGUCCAAGUCUACCGGCACCGUUAAGUGGUUCAACGAAGAAAAAGGUUUCGGCUUCAUCACCCCUGAAAACGGUGGUUCCGACGUAUUCGUUCACUUCCGCGCCAUCCAAGGCACCGGCUUCAAAGUUCUGAAAGAAGGCCAAAAGGUUUCUUUCGACGUUGAGCAAGGCCAGAAAGGCCCUCAGGCUGCCAACGUAGUAGUUAUCUAAACUACACGUACACAGUUUCCAGAAAGGACGCCCUAGGGCGUCCUUUUUUAU
rnacentral:sRNA from 1 species